AUUGAACGCUGGCGGCAGGCCUAACACAUGCAAGUCGAGCGGAUGAAGGGAGCUUGCUCCUGGAUUCAGCGGCGGACGGGUGAGUAAUGCCUAGGAAUCUGCCUGGUAGUGGGGGAUAACGUCCGGAAACGGGCGCUAAUACCGCAUACGUCCUGAGGGAGAAAGUGGGGGAUCUUCGGACCUCACGCUAUCAGAUGAGCCUAGGUCGGAUUAGCUAGUUGGUGGGGUAAAGGCCUACCAAGGCGACGAUCCGUAACUGGCCUGAGAGGAUGAUCAGUCACACUGGAACUGAGACACGGUCCAGACUCCUACGGGAGGCAGCAGUGGGGAAUAUUGGACAAUGGGCGAAAGCCUGAUCCAGCCAUGCCGCGUGUGUGAAGAAGGUCUUCGGAUUGUAAAGCACUUUAAGUUGGGAGGAAGGGCAAUAAGUUAAUACCUUGCUGUUUUGACGUUACCAACAGAAUAAGCACCGGCUAACUUCGUG
rnacentral:rRNA from 1 species